rnacentral:rRNA from 1 species
CCUACGUGGGGGCAGCAGUGGGGAAUAUUGGACAAUGGGCGAAAGCCUGAUCCAGCCAUGCCGCGUGUGUGAAGAAGGCCUUCGGGUUGUAAAGCACUUUCAGUGGGGAAGAAAGCCUUGGGGCUAAUACCCUCGAGGAAGGACAUCACCCACAGAAGAAGCACCGGCUAACUCCGUGCCAGCAGCCGCGGUAAUACGGAGGGUGCGAGCGUUAAUCGGAAUUACUGGGCGUAAAGCGCGCGUAGGCGGUCUGAUAAGCCGGUUGUGAAAGCCCCGGGCUCAACCUGGGAACGGCAUCCGGAACUGUCAGGCUAGAGUGCAGGAGAGGAAGGUAGAAUUCCCGGUGUAGCGGUGAAAUGCGUAGAGAUCGGGAGGAAUACCAGUGGCGAAGGCGGCCUUCUGGACUGACACUGACGCUGAGGUGCGAAAGCGUGGGUAGCAAACAGGAUUAAUACCCGAGUAGUC